rnacentral:rRNA from 1 species
UACAGAGGUCUCAAGCGUUGUUCGGAUUCAUUGGGCGUAAAGGGUGCGUAGGCGGCGCGGUAAGUCGGGUGUGAAAUCUCGGAGCUUAACUCCGAAACUGCAUUCGAUACUGCCGUGCUUGAGGACUGGAGAGGAGACUGGAAUUUAUGGUGUAGCAGUGAAAUGCGUAGAUAUCGUAAGGAAGACCAGUGGCGAAGGCGAGUCUCUGGACAGUUACCGACGCUGAGGCACGAAGGUCAGGGGAGCAAACGGG